rnacentral:rRNA from 1 species
UACGUAGGGGGCUAGCGUUGUCCGGAAUCAUUGGGCGUAAAGAGCGCGUAGGCGGUCCGGUAAGUCCGCUGUGAAAGUCAAGGGCUCAACCCUUGGAUGCCGGUGGAUACUGUCGGACUAGAGUCCGGAAGAGGCGAGUGGAAUUCCUGGUGUAGCGGUGAAAUGCGCAGAUAUCAGGAGGAACACCAAUGGCGAAGGCAGCUCGCUGGGACGGUAUUGACGCUGAGGUUCGAAAGCGUGGGGAGCAAACAGG